ACACAGGUGCUGCAUGGCUGUCGUCAGCUCGUGUCGUGAGAUGUUGGGUUAAGUCCCGCAACGAGCGCAACCCUCGCCCUUAGUUGCCAGCAUUCAGUUGGGCACUCUAAGGGGACUGCCGGUGAUAAGCCGAGAGGAAGGUGGGGAUGACGUCAAGUCCUCAUGGCCCUUACGGGCUGGGCUACACACGUGCUACAAUGGUGGUGACAGUGGGCAGCGAAGGAGCGACCCCGAGCUAAUCUCCAAAAGCCAUCUCAGUUCGGAUUGCACUCUGCAACUCGAGUGCAUGAAGUUGGAAUC
rnacentral:rRNA from 1 species